rnacentral:rRNA from 1 species
GGUUAAGCGACUAAGCGUACACGGUGGAUGCCCUGGCAGUCAGAGGCGAUGAAGGACGUGCUAAUCUGCGAAAAGCGUCGGUAAGGUGAUAUGAACCGUUACAGCCGGCGAUGUCCGAAUGGGGAAACCCAGUGCAAUUCGUUGCACUAUCGUUUGAUGAAUACAUAGUCAAACGAGGCGAACCGGGGGAACUGAAACAUCUAAGUACCCCGAGGAAAAGAAAUCAACCGAGAUUCCCCCAGUAGCGGCGAGCGAACGGGGAGCAGCCCGGAGUCUGAAUCAGCUUGUGUGUUAGUGGAAGCGUCUGGAAAGUCGCAGGGUACAGGGUGAUACUCCCGUACACUAAAACACACAGGCUGUGAACUCGAAGAGUAGGGCGGGACACGUGGUAUCCUGUCUGAAUAUGGGGGGACCAUCCUCCAAGGCUAAAUACUCCUGACUGACCGAUAGUGAACCAGUACCGUGAGGGAAAGGCGAAAAGAACCCCGGCGAGGGGAGUGAAAAAGAACCUGAAACCGUGUACGUACAAGCAGUAGGAGCCCACUAGUUGGGUGACUGCGUACCUUUUGUAUAAUGGGUCAGCGACUUAUAUUCUGUAGCAAGGUUAACCGUAUAGGGGAGCCGCAGGGAAACCGAGUCUUAACUGGGCGUUAAGUUGCAGGGUAUAGACCCGAAACCCGGUGAUCUAGCCAUGGGCAGGUUGAAGGUUGGGUAACACUAACUGGAGGACCGAACCGACUAAUGUUGAAAAAUUAGCGGAUGACUUGUGGCUGGGGGUGAAAGGCCAAUCAAACCGGGAGAUAGCUGGUUCUCCCCGAAAGCUAUUUAGGUAGCGCCUCGUGAACUCAUCUUCGGGGGUAGAGCACUGUUUCGGCUAGGGGGUCAUCCCGACUUACCAACCCGAUGCAAACUACGAAUACCGAAGAAUGUUAUCACGGGAGACACACGGCGGGUGCUAACGUCCGUCGUGAAGAGGGAAACAACCCAGACCGCCAGCUAAGGUCCCAAAGUCAUGGUUAAGUGGGAAACGAUGUGGGAAGGCCCAGACAGCCAGGAUGUUGGCUUAGAAGCAGCCAUCAUUUAAAGAAAGCGUAAUAGCUCACUGGUCGAGUCGGCCUGCGCGGAAGAUGUAACGGGGCUAAACCAUGCACCGAAGCUGCGGCAGCGACGCUUAUGCGUUGUUGGGUAGGGGAGCGUUCUGUAAGCCGUUGAAGGUGGCCUGUGAGGGUUGCUGGAGGUAUCAGAAGUGCGAAUGCUGACAUAAGUAACGAUAAUGCGGGUGAAAAACCCGCACGCCGGAAGACCAAGGGUUCCUGUCCAACGUUAAUCGGGGCAGGGUGAGUCGACCCCUAAGGCGAGGCCGAAAGGCGUAGUCGAUGGGAAACAGGUUAAUAUUCCUGUACUUGGUGUUACUGCGAAGGGGGGACGGAGAAGGCUAUGUUGGCCGGGCGACGGUUGUCCCGGUUUAAGCAUGUAGGCGGAUGUUCCAGGUAAAUCCGGAACGUUACUAACGCUGAGGUGUGAUGACGAGGCACUACGGUGCUGAAGUGACAAAUGCCCUGCUUCCAGGAAAAGCCUCUAAGCAUCAGGUAACAUCAAAUCGUACCCCAAACCGACACAGGUGGUCAGGUAGAGAAUACCAAGGCGCUUGAGAGAACUCGGGUGAAGGAACUAGGCAAAAUGGUGCCGUAACUUCGGGAGAAGGCACGCUGAUGGUAGGUGAAGUGACUUGCUCAUGGAGCUGAAAUCAGUCGAAGAUACCAGCUGGCUGCAACUGUUUAUUAAAAACACAGCACUGUGCAAACACGAAAGUGGACGUAUACGGUGUGACGCCUGCCCGGUGCCGGAAGGUUAAUUGAUGGGGUUAUCCUCACGGAGAAGCUCUUGAUCGAAGCCCCGGUAAACGGCGGCCGUAACUAUAACGGUCCUAAGGUAGCGAAAUUCCUUGUCGGGUAAGUUCCGACCUGCACGAAUGGCGUAAUGAUGGCCAGGCUGUCUCCACCCGAGACUCAGUGAAAUUGAACUCGCUGUGAAGAUGCAGUGUACCCGCGGCAAGACGGAAAGACCCCGUGAACCUUUACUAUAGCUUGACACUGAACACUGGUCCUUGAUGUGUAGGAUAGGUGGGAGGCUUUGAAGUGUGGACGCCAGUCUGCAUGGAGCCGUCCUUGAAAUACCACCCUUUAAUGGCUGGUGUUCUAACGUGGGCCCCUAAUCGGGGUUGCGGACAGUGUCUGGUGGGUAGUUUGACUGGGGCGGUCUCCUCCUAAAGAGUAACGGAGGAGCACGAAGGUCAGCUAAUCCUGGUCGGACAUCAGGAGGUUAGUGCAAUGGCAUAAGCUGGCUUGACUGCGAGCGUGACGGCGCGAGCAGGUGCGAAAGCAGGUCAUAGUGAUCCGGUGGUUCUGAAUGGAAGGGCCAUCGCUCAACGGAUAAAAGGUACUCCGGGGAUAACAGGCUGAUACCGCCCAAGAGUUCAUAUCGACGGCGGUGUUUGGCACCUCGAUGUCGGCUCAUCACAUCCUGGGGCUGAAGUAGGUCCCAAGGGUAUGGCUGUUCGCCAUUUAAAGUGGUACGCGAGCUGGGUUUAGAACGUCGUGAGACAGUUCGGUCCCUAUCUGCCGUGGGCGCUGGAGAAUUGAGGGGGGCUGCUCCUAGUACGAGAGGACCGGAGUGGACGCAUCACUGGUGUUCGGGUUGUCAUGCCAAUGGCAUUGCCCGGUAGCUAAAUGCGGAAGAGAUAAGUGCUGAAAGCAUCUAAGCACGAAACUUGCCCCGAGAUGAGUUCUCCCUGACUCCUUGAGAGUCCUGAAGGAACGUUGAAGACGACGACGUUGAUAGGCCGGGUGUGUAAGCGCAGCGAUGCGUUGAGCUAACCGGUACUAAUGAACCGUGAGGCUUAACCUU